CGGAGGAUCCAAGCGUUAUCCGGGAUCAUUGGGUUUAAAGGGUCCGUAGGCGGGUUUAUAAGUCAGUGGUGAAAGCCCAUCGCUCAACGAUGGAACGGCCAUUGAUACUGUAGAUCUUGAAUUAUUAGGAAGUAACUAGAAUAUGUAGUGUAGCGGUGAAAUGCUUAGAGAUUACAUGGAAUGCCAAUUGCGAAGGCAGGUUACUACUAAUGGAUUGACGCUGAUGGACGAAAGCGUGGGUAGCGAACAGGAUUAGAUACCCUGGUAGUCCACGCCGUAAACGAUGGAUACUAGCUGUUCGGAGCAAUCUGAGUGGCUAAGCGAAAGUGAUAAGUAUCCCACCUGGGGAGUACGUUCGCAAGAAUG
rnacentral:rRNA from 1 species